rnacentral:sRNA from 1 species
CGGGUUUUUACUCCUGGAUGUUACCGGUUCGCCCAGUCAAAACCGGGCGGGUUUUGGUGUCUGAUUCGGUACGAAUCGGGAGCACCUCUGCGUAGGCUUGAAAAAGCAAAGCUUCACGGUUUAAGGCUUGCGCCGCCUACGGUCUUGGAUAGCCCCCGCCAGGCAGGGACCCCAAUAUGUCGCACCCUGCCAAGCAGGGUG